CACCCGAACUGUGACCAACAUCCCAUUGUUAUGGCCUGAAACUGACCAUCUCUAGUCUAGUUUCUGCAACCUCUUGUAGGUAAUCUUACGAGCAAGUCGAAACCAAUGAAAAAUCAUCAGUAAGUCAUUGGUUGAUUGAGAGAGAUGGAAAUUGUUGUGAAACUAACAUCUCGAGUGAUGGAGAUGGGACGCAGAAUCUUUUCUUUAUGGGUUAGGAGACAUCUGGAGUUAGAUCACAGCAUUGGGUUGAAGUCGAUCACUGCAAAAAAACUAGACUGCGGAUGGUGGCAUAUUGGACUGCAGUGGGUUGGCUAAAGACCACAGUAGGACAUGGGCGUCGCACCCAUAAGAAGUGGUGUCAUGCCACCGGACCUCACAAGCUCGUGUUCAUGGGAGCUGCAUUGCCUCUUGCAUCUAGUGCGCAAGCUUCAAAUUAACCAAGGACCUCAGCAUGGACGAAGCUAGCGGUGGGGCUAGGGGGCUCUAGCCCCCCUACCGCUGCUGAUUCAGUGGAGCUUCUAGUGUUUUUCUUCUAAUUUUAUAUACAAAUUUAUAAAGUAGGGUGGGCUGAGACCUUUAUUUUUAGAUAUAUUUUGUGAAUUAAUAUAUGACUACUUCAAGCUAAUAUAUUUUUUUCUAUUGUGAGAGUUUAUAGUAAAGUUAGGUCGAUGUAGCAAUUUUGUUCAGCCUCUCCUACAAUUUUUUCUGGCUUCGUCCCUGGACCUCAGUGACUUGAUUUUUGUCCUAGAUUGGUGAGAGGGAGGGAUCUGGUGGGUUUAGAUGGGUCAGCCUGAAAACUACUGCUUUGAGAUCUCAUGAUAAAUUUGAUCGCCAAAGCUUUUGUAAGGCCGUUGCAGUUUUUGAUUUUCUAUAACGAUUCAGGUAUGGCCAACUGUCUUCUCUAGAGGACAUGUUUACCUGCUAUUCUCAUGGUCAUGUUUCAUGCAGAUGCAGUUCCAAUCCAUGCAUGUCCUUUUUCCUUUUUUUAAUUUCAUGCAAAUAGGUUUUGGCUUUUGCAUUUAAUUACUGGCUGUAUUAUUUGCUACUCCCUCGAUUCCAAAUUAAAAGACAUUUUGAAUUGUUUAGUUAGACACUAGAGAUGUCGUAAAAGUAAUGUAUCUAGAGAAUACAAAAUAUCUUAUAAUUUGGAAUGGAGGGAUGAGUUAUUAAAAUUGAUAGCAGGUCAUUCUAACUGGGCAUCUAAUUAAGUUGCAAGAUGGUGUGGUUGAAAUCGAUGGUUGUGGUAGCUCCUGAUCACACGCCUGUUUUGAGAUCUGAAAUGAACUAGCGUACUUAACAGUAGUACUAGUCAUAUUUAACUCUCUCUCUCUCUCUCUCUCUCCGGCAACCAAGCGAGAGCAGCAGCGGUAGCCACGAGCGUCAGGUUCUCGAUGAUGUUUUCACUUGCAAUUGGAUCUGUUGCUUCAUGCAGGGCCGUGAGUGCUCUCUCUCGCUCUUUGUUUCAUUUUUUCUUCUAGGUGCUUUCUUAGGGCCCGUUCGUUUCUCACGGAAUGGAGACCUGGAAUGAUUUCAGCCAGAAACAUUAUGUAAAUUUAUACUAUUUUUGAUCGUCUGAAAUGAAUCCAUCGGGAACAAAGGCUAAACGAACGAGCCCUUAGUAAUCACUCUCAUGGUUAGCUGAUCUGAGAUCUGAGAGGUUAUAUUAUAUGAAUCCAUUUUAAUUAGUCCCUCUAUAACCUUUUUUCAUGUUUGCCUUCUGAAGAAUCAUCAUACGGAGUGAAGAAAGCUAGAUGCAUGCUACAUUAUUGCAUUGGGCAAAAUUAUGGGAAUAAAAAAAUAAUGAUGCUACAUUACCUGGCGAAUGCUUGGACAGAUGUGAGAUGUAUUGGCCAGUUAUGGAAAAAAAAUAAUGAUGCUGUUAUGAAGCACUAUAUACAUAACUUGUUCUCUUAUUAAGAACGACCAUUUCCAAUGACCCAUCAUGUCAUUCGAGGAAUACAGAUUUUUGUGCUUUGCAUGCUGGUGGCCACUAACCGAUUGAUCGAAGGUGCUUUUUGGUUCCACACUCUGUGGGAAUAGUAAUGCUAAUGUAAUAAGGUAGCGCUGCAAUCUGUUACUACAGUUUAAGGAAAAAAAACUGAAUUGAUUUGGUUGCCUCCUGUAAUGCUUGGAGCUGUUAGCUAGUCAAAACAUAGAGUCCAAUACAUAAGUAUCCCACAAUCACCAGCGAGGAUGCAGCAGAAGACACAUGCUGGAGUUUCUGAUGGCAGUGGUUGCAGUGUCGCUAGUUAAGACCGCUACAAUUCAGGCGCUCCUUAGAGAAGCUCAACGUACGUGGUCAGGAAGCCGUGCACCACCCCCAACAAGGAGGAAGGAUGGAGCAGAGACAUUGCUGGCGCAGACAGAGAAGUGGCACAUCAGUAUAGAUGCCAGAGAUGCGAGAGAAUCAUGAUGACUUGAGCUAGGGUUGUGGUCCAGCACACGUCAAGGGGCCGUGGCGUGUAGUCCAGCGGAGAGGAAGCGGCGAGGGAAUCAUGAUGAGUUGCAUGUAGGGAUGAAAACGGAUCGGAUACGGACGGAUAUCCCCGAUAUCAUAUUUGUUUUCAUAUUUCUGGUCGGAUUCGGAUUCGAAUACGGAUAAUGUCAACCAUGUCAGAUAAGAUACAAUUGGAUAUCAACAUCAUAAAUAUACAAUUUAAGUAUUCGGAUACGGAUAUGGUAUCGGAUAUUGAAUAUUCGGACUUAGAUACAGCAGAUCUAAACCCCUUGAAACGAAUUCGGUCUUGAAUACGGUCGGAAAAUAUCCGUACCGUUUUCAUCCCUGGUUGCAUGAGGUGCGGUCUAGGGCAGGGGAAGGGGAAUGGAUGAAGCUGGUUCGUGAGGAAAAUCCCAUAACUUGCCGUGGUUAUGUUUAUUAUGACCCAUCAUGACAUCAGCCAAAAUGUUAUGAAUGUGGCAGGCUGAAAUAGAGAUCAUUGCAGGUAAGCAAUGUGUCCAAGAGGUGAUAGAGUGCACUUAGGGGCACUAAUUAAGAUCAGGAGGCAUCAGGAACUAGAACCCCUAUGACUUGACCUGAAGUUGUAGGAUGAGUCAUACUGAAUGGAGCCGCGGAUGAGGACCCUGUCCUUGUCCAGAUACUGUUGCAGCCUUGCCAUUUGUUUAGAUCAUUUUAAUCCCCUCUAAAUAUAAAAUUUAUUGCCCUCUAAAAUUGUUUUGUACUAGCAACCUACCUAUAUAUUACUAGGAGGAUGCCAUGCCGACGGAGGCUACUGGCAAUGGAUUCGUGCACCCAACAAUCGAUCUUCUAUUAUUUAACUCCUCAGUAUGUGUAACAACAUUAAUGCAUCAUCUAUAGGUGAAUAUACAGUAAAUAUAAGUGAAGUAGUGCACCCGAACUGUGACCAACAUCCCAUUGUUAUGGCCUGAAACUGACCAUCUCUAGUCUAGUUUCUGCAACCUCUUGUAGGUAAUCUUACGAGCAAGUCGAAACCAAUGAAAAAUCAUCAGUAAGUCAUUGGUUGAUUGAGAGAGAUGGAAAUUGUUGUGAAACUAACAUCUCGAGUGAUGGAGAUGGGACGUAGAAUCUUUUCUUUAUGGGUUAGGAGACAUCUGGAGUUAGAUCACAGCAUUGGGUUGAAGUCGAUCACUGCAAAAAAACUAGACUGCGGAUGGUGGCAUAUUGGACUGCAGUGGGUUGGCUAAAGACCACAGUAGGACAUGGGCGUCGCACCCAUAAGAAGUGGUGUCAUGCCACCGGACCUCACAAGCUCGUGUUCAUGGGAGCUGCAUUGCCUCUUGCAUCUAGUGCGCAAGCUUCAAAUUAACCAAGGACCUCAGCAUGGACGAAGCUAGCGGUGGGGCUAGGGGGCUCUAGCCCCCCUACCGCUGCUGAUUCAGUGGAGCUUCUAGUGUUUUUCUUCUAAUUUUAGAUACAAAUUUAUAAAGUAGGGUGGGCUGAGACCUUUAUUUUUAGAUAUAUUUUGUGAAUUAAUAUAUGACUACUUCAAGCUAAUAUAUUUUUUUCUAUUGUGAG
rnacentral:lncRNA from 1 species